rnacentral:rRNA from 1 species
CCUACGGGAGGCAGCAGUUAGGAAUUUUGGGCAAUGGGCGAAAGCCUGACCCAGCAACGCCGCGUGGGUGACGAAGGCCUUCGGGUUGUAAAGCCCUUUUCUCGGGGAAGAUGAUGACGGUACCCGAGGAAGAAGCACCGGCUAACUACGUGCCAGCAGCCGCGGUAAUACGUAGGGUGCGAGCGUUGCCCGGAUUUAUUGGGCGUAAAGGGCGCGCAGGCGGUACGGCACGUCCGUUGUGAAAUCGCUCGGCUCAACUGGGCGGGGUCAGCGGAUACGGCCGUACUUGAGCAAGCUAGGGGGCAAUGGAAUUCCCGGUGUAGUGGUGGAAUGCGUAGAUAUCGGGAGGAACACCAGUGGCGAAGGCGGUUGCCUGGAGCUUUGCUGACGCUGAGGCGCGAAAGCGUGGGGAGCGAUCCGGAUUAGAUACCCUUGUAGUC